rnacentral:lncRNA from 1 species
GUGGGCAGAGACCACCUCCCUCAUUGCCGCUUUGGGUUUGGACCGCUUUAAACAGUAAAGUGACUGUCGACGGCUCAGUCUACAGGGAGGAGAACAAAAGACAGGGUCAGGGCUGGGCAGACUGGACAGGGUAAGAUUCUGGCUCCCCUCACUUGCUAGUUGGAGGAGUGGGGAGGCGAGUUAUUAGUGCCUUUGGGCCCUGACCUUAUAGCCCUUCGUAGGGUGGUGUGCGAAUGUCCAGUGUCCAGUGCUGAAUGCUGAGGGACCCAGUAAGAGGAGGUGGCUAGAACUGGAGGGACAGUUUCCCAGAAGCCUGGGCUUUGGGAUAGCAGCUGGGGAGAGCAGAGUCACGCUAGGCUCUUGUCUAGUGACUGGAGCUGUCAGCAGCAUAAGCCAGGCUCUAUGGAAUGUUGGGUGAGCUGCUUGAGGAACUCCAAGGCCUGUCCCACAGUCUUCCAGCCUCCGACUCUCCGGCCCUCAGCGAGGUCAGCAGUGAGCUACUUUUGGAUCUGAAGUCCCACUGGUUUUUUUGGUUGGUUUUUUUUUUUUUUUUUAAGGUUUUUUGGUUUUUUUUUUUUUUUCUCAUUCCUGUCUUGGGAGCUUUCCCCAACCAGAGAGAGUGAUCUUUCAGCAGACUGAUCGAACACACAGGCUUCUCAGCCCACUCCCUCCAGUCAAGGUUAAGGCCUGGCAAAGGUGGAGGAAGAGAAGCUGAGGAGAAAAAGGCGAGGAGAGCCUAGGCACAGGAAGGUGACCGUGAGUAGAGUUGGGUGGUCCAGGGAUGUGGCUGGGAUCCCCUCUUCCUUCUGGAGUUCUCUUAGACAGUAAGGCUGAAGAGAAGCUUGGUACAGGAACUUCGAAGGUUUCUCAAGCGCUUCCCUCCCUCCCAGUGCUGAUUUCCUGUGGACCAGAUUCCAGCACAGUGGAGGGCCAGAGCUCAGGGAACAGACCCAGCAGCACAGCAAGUCUCCAAGGAAAGCUCUAGCAGUCUCCAGGGGCUGAAGGCAGGACUGGAAC